rnacentral:misc_RNA from 1 species
AACGCACAUUGCGCCCGUCAGUAUUCUGGCGGGCAUGCCUGUUCGAGCGUCAUUACGCCCCUCAAGUCCCCUGUGGACUUGGUGUUGGGGAUCGGCGAGGCUGGUUUUCCAGCGCAGCCGUCCCUCAAAUCAAUUGGCGGUCUCGCCGUGGCCCUCCUCUGCGCAGUAGUAAAACACUCGCAACAGGAGCCCGGCGCGGUACACUGCCGUAAAACCCCCCAACUUUUUAUAGUUGACCUCGAAUCAGGUAGGACUACCCGCUGAACUUAA